CCUACGGGGGGCAGCAGUGGGGAAUAUUGGGCAAUGGGCGCAAGCCUGACCCAGCAACGCCGCGUGAAGGAAGAAGGCUUUCGGGUUGUAAACUUCUUUUGUCAGGGAAGAGUAGAAGACGGUACCUGACGAAUAAGCCACGGCUAACUACGGGCCAGCAGCCGCGGUAAUAGGUAGGUGGCAAGCGUUGUCCGGUUUUACUGGGUGUAAAGGGCGUGUAGCCGGGUUGACAAGUCAGAUGUGAAAUCCUGCGGCUUAACCGCAGAACUGCAUUUGAAACUGUUGAUCUUGAGUACUGGAGAGGCAGACGGAAUUCCUAGUGUAGCGGUGAAAUGCGUAGAUAUUAGGAGGAACACCAGUGGCGAAGGCGGUCUGCUGGACAGCAACUGACCGUCGGGCCCGAAAGCGUGGGGAGCAAACAGGAUUAGAUACCCUGGUAGU
rnacentral:rRNA from 1 species